rnacentral:misc_RNA from 1 species
UUCAGAAUGUUACCUUUUCAAGUCCGUUUCACUCUUUUACUCAUUUUAGCGAUUCCUCAGUGAAAGGUCCCAUAAUCACUAGGCUGGAGGGAAACCAUUCUCAGCCACCGACGAUUUUUGCAACAGCAUGAGCAUCACAGAUCACGUCUACACGAGAAGUGACAAAAAAUCACCAACAGUGUUGGCAACAGCCAAACAUUCUAUCAAAGGGGGAAAAGCAGCCGCAGAAUGCAGUGGAAUCUCGAGCUGGAUUGAGAGUGUGUGAAGGAACUGUGCAUCCAAGUUUCGACCCAUUGACGGCAUCCUAUGCAGUACUAUCAGAUGGGAAACUGCGGAGGAAAUCGCACGGUAGGAAUCGUGCCGUCUUUCAACUCUUUUUCUAGAGGUAAAGAAAGGACUCGCAAAAGGAGAAGUGUGACGCAUCCUAAGAAAAAAUCCCACGCGCUCUACGGUUAAUGAAAAACGUACAGAGUUUCAAGAGGAUGCCCCACAAAGUUCUGGAGAAACACAUGUCUAGGUUAUCUGCUCCGGUAGAGAAGGGUCAUUUAAAAACAAAGAAAAUAGCACAUAAAUCAAAAGAUUGUCUUUCUUAACGCAACAUCGUCCCGCUUUACUCGACCUCAAGAACAUGCUGAUGGGGAAAUGGCACCCUAUUGAAAACCAACGUUUUAAAUCGCAUCGCAGAGGAAAUUUAUCAAAAUGUAUCCUGGUCAGAACUAAUCUCUGAAGGUAGAAGUAUGAAAUCACUUGCGGAAUGGCAGGAGUCGUGCAGGCCCGUCAAUACUUCUAGUCAGUUUAACUCGUGCGCGAACUAGUUUCACUAAAAUUCCAAGCAAGCUAUUCAGUCCUCAGAAAAAAGCUUAAUAAAUGCAGUUAACGACAAAAAUAUAAUUUGAGCGAGUAUCAUAAGCUGGAGGAGCUAAAAAUAUAUGAGGCGCGCUGGGUAAAAUAGACAAAUAUUUCAAGAAUCAAAAUUUCCUGACAUUUCAAGUUCUUUGUCAUUAUUCCUGGAAUACUUUGGAAAAAUAUGACGAAAAUUGAUCAAAUCUAAAUACCCUAUAAAUUCGCUCACAUUGGAUGUAUUCGUCUCAAAAUCAAAUGCGAGAUUUUAGCUCAUAAAGAUUCGUUAACAACUCGCGCCAUGCCAGAUUAUUUAGCCUCUUGAAACCGCAAACCAACGAGCCAAUGGGACCUCCUGGCGUCGAUGGCGAUGGAUCAAGAUUUCCCCGGCAAAAUGGGUUUUUCUUUCGAUCGUUCAGUGAGAUGAGGAGAAAGACACAUUAAUUACGCAGAAAAGUUCCAGCUAUUAACGAUCAACCCGAGAAUUGUUGACAAAGACAACGAUAGUAAAAAUUUUUCUGUUGACGGUCAUACUAUUGAGAGAAUGGGGGAAAUACGGCUUUUAGCAGUUCAAAUCGAUGAAAAAUUGAGUUUUACUAGUCAUAUCAGUGAUCUAUGCUCUAAGCCCAGUCAAAAAGUAGGGGUCCUAGUGCGGCUAAGCGGUUCAAUGUCAGAUCAAGCCUCAUGCAGCUUGAAUGAUGUUGAGGGGGUACCUACGUAAGACGAUGGGACAUGAAGACGAUAAGAAAUAUUAAUUUACCGAAAAAUUUCCAUUACUGUAUUGAACGAAUUUUUUUUUUUUUCAAUUUACAGACGAGCUGCUUAAAUAUAUUAUCUAUGUCAGAGAAGCAUAAAGGCAAAAUGUAUGGAAUACCUUGCAUAGUAUUUAUAGUCCCACUUUGUAGAGGUAAUCGAAUGAUGCUAAGUGAAAGAAAGGAUUAAUAUCACGCGUGUUUUCAAAAGUUACAGAAAAUGCCCAAGUCUCUAACAACUACUCGUGAAAUGUUUUAAACUCAAAUUUUCCGUCAAGAUGCGCUUAAUGGUAUAAGAAUUAAUAUGCCAUUGAUCAAUUGAAUCUGAAUCUUGAAUUUUUCUAUUUGUAUCUCAGCUUGGAUGAAAUUCUAUAAAUGCAUCUUUUAAGUGUUCUACUGCCUGGCGCGUCAAAUUCAAGUCGUUUGGAUGGAUUUAAGACUGCUAAAUUCAUGAUGUUGAAAUGAUUACAGAUGUUAGCGCGGCAGAGAUAUCUAAUACCUGUGACUUCUCAUGGAUUGUAACUACGUGAAAAAUACACAGAGGGAAAAUUAUAUAACGUUUUGCGUUCGACCACUUAUACGGAAAGGACAACAGCUGCCAUGUAUCAUGAUAUCUAAAGUGGACUAAUCUUACACGUAAGCGAGAGGGGAUGGCGCUACGCUCCCAUUAUGGAAAAUGAAGUUUGCUGGUGCUGAGAAUAGGUGUCUGACGGAUCCUCAUUUUACAGGUCUUCAAUUCUGCCCCAUCUAACCUACUGUCAUCUAGUAUGGCACUUCUGUAAUGCAUCGGAUCGGAG